AGAAGCCCCAGGAGAAAGUCCAGAGUCACCCGAGGGUGCGGCCCCAGGGAGCUUCACGCAGCCAGCUCUGCAGCCAGCACCUAAGGAGGUGCCCGCGGGAGGAGGAGGGGGCGUGUGGGAUGCUCUGGCCGGGUGGGCUGCCUGGGAAGGGGUGGCUGACCGAGUUUGUCACUGAUGGAGACAUGGAAGUGUCCGCCAUGCACAGAUGGAGACUUGGCCAUCACUCCAUAGGGGAACACUUGAGCAGCAGGGACGACGGCCCCAGGCUGUGGAGUGGCUUCCCUGCCUUGCCGCCUGCUCCCUGUGCCCUUGCGGCUCCCACUGAGUGGGUAGAGACCGCUCGCCAGCCUUGCAGUCUAGGCUGGCCUUGGCUUGGACCCUUGGGAGACCUUCCAGCUUCCACUCUGUCUUGGAAGGAACCCUGACAGCCCUCUGAGAACAAGCCCGGGCCAGACUGCUGGGGGAUGUGUUGUCAUCGGGCAGCCAACCUCCAGCCUCCAGAACAGGCCCAUCGGAGAUCAGCACAGCCUGGAUCAGGCCAGCAGCACUGCCUGGGUGGCCCCGGCUCGUGAGCAAGUGUAGAUGCUUAUUGCUUUUGUCCACCGCGUCUCCAGGCUGCUGGGUUUGCAGCAGCAGCUGACCCAUCCACCACGGCCACCACGAGAGGUCACACAGGUACCACUUGAAGCUGCGACACUUCAGCCUCUGACGCAGGGCCAGCCUCUCAGACACGUCCCCGAAGUCCACCCCUGGGUUCUGCAAGGCCAGAAGUAGAGGGUCUGAGGCAGCUGCUCCUGAUGGGAAGGACCCUGCCAGAGGCCAGCCCCGGCCUGGACAGACGGCCCCUGCUGCAGCCGGCUCGUCCACACCCACCCGGGCCCAGGAACCUCCUGCCUGAGAAGACGGCCCUGCUCACCUGGCCUUACUGCACGGCAUCAGCCUGACCUCUGGAGGGUGGAGACUGAGGUCAGCCAUAUCCAGAGACCAGCCUGGCCUGAGUAGGACAGAAAGGCCGAGGCAGGGAGUGUUCACACACUCUGCUCGAUUCGGGCUGGGACGUGGGUCCUCCCC
rnacentral:lncRNA from 1 species